rnacentral:rRNA from 1 species
UACGGGGGGGGCAAGCGUUGUUCGGAAUUACUGGGCGUAAAGGGCUCGUAGGCGGCCAACUAAGUCAGACGUGAAAUCCCUCAGCUUAACUGGGGAACUGCGUCUGAUACUGGAUGGCUUGGAUUCGGGAGAGGAAUGCGGAAUUCCAGGUGUAGCGGUGAAAUGCGUAGAUAUCUGGAGGAACACCGGUGGCGAAGGCGGCAUCCUGGACCGACACUGACGCUGAGGAGCGAAAGCGUGGGUAGCAAACAGG